rnacentral:rRNA from 1 species
AGAGUUUGAUCCUGGCUCAGGACGAACGCUGGCGGCGUGCUUAACACAUGCAAGUCGAACGGAAAGGCCCUUCGGGGUACUCGAGUGGCGAACGGGUGAGUAACACGUGGGUGAUCUGCCCUGCACUUUGGGAUAAGCCUGGGAAACUGGGUCUAAUACCGAAUAUGACCAUGCACUUCCUGGUGUGUGGUGGAAAGCUUUUGCGGUGUGGGAUGGGCCCGCGGCCUAUCAGCUUGUUGGUGGGGUAAUGGCCUACCAAGGCGACGACGGGUAGCCGGCCUGAGAGGGUGACCGGCCACACUGGGACUGAGAUACGGCCCAGACUCCUACGGGAGGCAGCAGUGGGGAAUAUUGCACAAUGGGCGCAAGCCUGAUGCAGCGACGCCGCGUGAGGGAUGACGGCCUUCGGGUUGUAAACCUCUUUCAGCACAGACGAAGCGCAAGUGACGGUAUGUGCAGAAGAAGGACCGGCCAACUACGUGCCAGCAGCCGCGGUAAUACGUAGGGUCCGAGCGUUGUCCGGAAUUACUGGGCGUAAAGAGCUCGUAGGUGGUUUGUCGCGUUGUUCGUGAAAUCUCACGGCUUAACUGUGAGCGUGCGGGCGAUACGGGCAGACUUGAGUACUGCAGGGGAGACUGGAAUUCCUGGUGUAGCGGUGGAAUGCGCAGAUAUCAGGAGGAACACCGGUGGCGAAGGCGGGUCUCUGGGCAGUAACUAACGCUGAGGAGCGAAAGCGUGGGGAGCGAACAGGAUUAGAUACCCUGGUAGUCC